rnacentral:rRNA from 1 species
AUUGAACGCUGGCGGCAUGCCUUACACAUGCAAGUCGAACGGUAACAGGGAGCUUGCUCCGCUGACGAGUGGCGAACGGGUGAGUAAUGUAUCGGAACGUACCUUUUAGUGGGGGAUAACGUAGCGAAAGUUACGCUAAUACCGCAUAUUCUCUGAGGAGGAAAGCAGGGGACCUUCGGGCCUUGCGCUAAUAGAGCGGCUGAUAUCAGAUUAGCUAGUUGGUGAGGUAAAGGCUCACCAAGGCGACGAUCUGUGGCGGGUCUGAGAGGAUGAUCCGCCACACUGGAACUGGGACACGGUCCAGACUCCUACGGGAGGCAGCAGUGGGGAAUUUUGGACAAUGGGGGCAACCCUGAUCCAGCCAUGCCGCGUGAGUGAAGAAGGCCUUCGGGUUGCAAAGCUCUUUCGGCCGGGAAAAAAUCGCAUGGGUUAAUACCCUGUGUGGAUGAUGGUACCGGAAUAAGAAGCACCGGCUAACUACGUGCCAGCCGCCGCCGUAA